rnacentral:lncRNA from 10 species
CCCCGCCUCCCGCCUCCCGCUCCCCGCUCCCCGGGACACCCUUACAGAGCCCAGCACCUCCUUCCCCUCCCGGGGUCUCCCGCUGGACUGCGCUGCGGUUUCUCUGCACAGCGCUUGUCGGGUGUGUUGAGCUGGAGGUCUUGGCGCAGCGACGGGCUUGGGUGGCCAUGUGUUCCCGUUUGCAGUAUGCAUGCUGCUGACCUUCCAUUCUCAGGGACAUCCAUCCCUCAAAGCACACCUAGGUGUGAUGGCACAGGAGUUGAACCUGGUGAGCUGGUUCAACCUGAUAAAGUGGAAAACGCUGAAGUAUGUGGAAAACAAGAAACAGGGAUAGAGAAGUAAAAACUACAUUUUCACACACACCACCCCAAGAUCGCCAAAUCACCAAAAUGUGUAUUUGAUAUGUAAUUAAAGUUAGACUUUCAGGCAAUUCCGUCUUACAUUUCUGUCUUAUAUUUCUGUCUUACAUUUUUCCUUUCUUCUCAACCACCCCUAAAGCGUCCUUACCGAAGAUACUUGUCUUCACUAAUACAGCUUUCUCUUCAGUUGUUUUCUCCAAUUGCUCCUAGUCUUGUCACUUAAACAUUUUUUUUUUUUGAGACAGACUCUCACUCUACCACCCAUGCUGGAGUGCAGUGGCACAAUCUCGGCUUACUGCAGCCCUUCCGGGUUCAAGUGAU